AGAGUUUGAUCAUGGCUCAGGAGCGAACGCUGGCGGCAGGCUUAACACAUGCAAGUCGAGCGGGCGUAGCAAUACGUCAGCGGCAGACGGGUGAGUAACGCGUGGGAACGUACCUUUUGGUUCGGAACAACACAGGGAAACUUGUGCUAAUACCGGAUAAGCCCUUACGGGGAAAGAUUUAUCGCCGAAAGAUCGGCCCGCGUCUGAUUAGCUAGUUGGUGAGGUAACGGCUCACCAAGGCGACGAUCAGUAGCUGGUCUGAGAGGAUGAUCAGCCACAUUGGGACUGAGACACGGCCCAAACUCCUACGGGAGGCAGCAGUGGGGAAUAUUGGACAAUGGGCGCAAGCCUGAUCCAGCCAUGCCGCGUGAGUGAUGAAGGCCCUAGGGUUGUAAAGCUCUUUUGUGCGGGAAGAUAAUGACGGUACCGCAAGAAUAAGCCCCGGCUAACUUCGUGCCAGCAGCCGCGGUA
rnacentral:rRNA from 1 species